CCCGGAAGGGGAGUGAAAUAGAACCUGAAACCGUGUGCUUACAAGUAGUCAGAGCCCGUUAAUGGGUGAUGGCGUGCCUUUUGUAGAAUGAACCGGCGAGUUACGAUUUGAUGCAAGGUUAAGCAGUAAAUGUGGAGCCGUAGCGAAAGCGAGUCUGAAUAGGGCGUUUAGUAUUUGGUCGUAGACCCGAAACCAGGUGAUCUACCCUUGGUCAGGUUGAAGUUCAGGUAACACUGAAUGGAGGACCGAACCGACUUACGUUGAAAAGUGAGCGGAUGAACUGAGGGUAGCGGAGAAAUUCCAAUCGAACCUGGAGAUAGCUGGUUCUCUCCGAAAUAGCUUUAGGGCUAGCCUCAAGUGAUGAUUAUUGGAGGUAGAGCACUGUUUGGACGAGGGGCCCCUCUCGGGUUACCGAAUUCAGACAAACUCCGAAUGCCAAUUAAUUUAACUUGGGAGUCAGAACAUGGGUGAUAAGGUCCGUGUUCGAAAGGGAAACAGCCCAGACCACCAGCUAAGGUCCCAAAAUAUAUGUUAAGUGGAAAAGGAUGUGGCGUUGCCCAGACAACUAGGAUGUUGGCUUAGAAGCAGCCAUCAUUUAAAGAGUGCGUAAUAGCUCACUAGUCGAGUGACACUGCGCCGAAAAUGUACCGGGGCUAAACAUAUUACCGAAGCUGUGGAUUGUCCUUUGGACAAUGGUAGGAGAGCGUUCUAAGGGCGUUGAAGCAUGAUCGUAAGGACAUGUGGAGCGCUUAGAAGUGAGAAUGCCGGUGUGAGUAGCGAAAGACGGGUGAGAAUCCCGUCCACCGAUUGACUAAGGUUUCCAGAGGAAGGCUCGUCCGCUCUGGGUUAGUCGGGUCCUAAGCUGAGGCCGACAGGCGUAGGCGAUGGAUAACAGGUUGAUAUUCCUGUACCACCUAUAAUCGUUUUAAUCGAUGGGGGGACGCAGUAGGAUAGGCGAAGCGUGCGAUUGGAUUGCACGUCUAAGCAGUAAGGCUGAGUAUUAGGCAAAUCCGGUACUCGUUAAGGCUGAGCUGUGAUGGGGAGAAGACAUUGUGUCUUCGAGUCGUUGAUUUCACACUGCCGAGAAAAGCCUCUAGAUAGAAAAUAGGUGCCCGUACCGCAAACCGACACAGGUAGUCAAGAUGAGAAUUCUAAGGUGAGCGAGCGAACUCUCGUUAAGGAACUCGGCAAAAUGACCCCGUAACUUCGGGAGAAGGGGUGCUCUUUAGGGUUAACGCCCAGAAGAGCCGCAGUGAAUAGGCCCAAGCGACUGUUUAUCAAAAACACAGGUCUCUGCUAAACCGUAAGGUGAUGUAUAGGGGCUGACGCCUGCCCGGUGCUGGAAGGUUAAGAGGAGUGGUUAGCUUCUGCGAAGCUACGAAUCGAAGCCCCAGUAAACGGCGGCCGUAACUAUAACGGUCCUAAGGUAGCGAAAUUCCUUGUCGGGUAAGUUCCGACCCGCACGAAAGGCGUAACGAUUUGGGCACUGUCUCAACGAGAGACUCGGUGAAAUCAUAGUACCUGUGAAGAUGCAGGUUACCCGCGACAGGACGGAAAGACCCCGUGGAGCUUUACUGUAGCCUGAUAUUGAAAUUCGGCACAGCUUGUACAGGAUAGGUAGGAGCCUUUGAAACGUGAGCGCUAGCUUACGUGGAGGCGCUGGUGGG
rnacentral:rRNA from 1 species